GUAGGUGAACCUGCGGAAGGAUCAUUAUCGAAAAUAAAGGGUUGUCUGCUGGCCUCUCGGGGCGCGUGCACGCCCAAAUCCACAACACACCUGUGAACCCACCGUAGGCCCUCGGGCUUAUGUAUUAUCAUAUACUCUGAUCAUAGAAUGUAAAUAUUUUGCCUUAAAAACGCAAUGAAAUACAACUUUCAACAACGGAUCUCUUGGCUCUCGCAUCGAUGAAGAACGCAGCAUCUGACUGACUGGAAGC
rnacentral:misc_RNA from 1 species